rnacentral:misc_RNA from 1 species
GGUACUGCUCACCAGUGGUGU